rnacentral:rRNA from 1 species
AUUGAACGCUGGCGGCAUGCCUUACACAUGCCAGUCGAACGGCAGCACGGGUGCUUGCACCUGGUGGCGAGUGGCGAGCGGGUGAGUAAUACAUCGGAACAUGUCCUGUAGUGGGGGAUAGCCCGGCGAAAGCCGGAUUAAUACCGCAUACGAUCUACGGAUGAAAGCGGGGGACCUUCGGGCCUCGCGCUAUAGGGUCGGCCGAUGGCUGAUUAGCUAGUUGGUGGGGUAAAGGCCUACCAAGGCGACGAUCAGUAGCUGGUCUGAGAGGACGACCAGCCACACUGGGACUGAGACACGGCCCAGACUCCUACGGGAGGCAGCAGUGGGGAAUUUUGGACAAUGGGCGAAAGCCUGAUCCAGCAAUGCCGCGUGUGUGAAGAAGGCCUUCGGGUUGUAAAGCACUUUUGUCCGGAAAGAAAUCCUUGGCCCUAAUACGGUCGGGGGAUGACGGUACCGGAAGAAUAAGCACCGGCUAACUACGUG